UAAGGAAUAUUGGACAAUGGAGGCAACUCUGAUCCAGCCAUGCCGCGUGAAGGAAUAAGGCCCUAUGGGUUGUAAACUUCUUUUAGACGGGACAAAACCCCUUUACGUGUAAAGGGUUGAUGGUACUGUCAGAAUAAGCAUCGGCUAACUUCGUGCCAGCAGCCGCGGUAAUACGAAGGAUGCAAGCGUUAUCCGGAAUUAUUGGGUUUAAAGGGUGCGUAGGCGGACUAAUAAGUCAGUGGUGAAAGCCUGCAGCUUAACUGCAGAAGUGCCAUUGAUACUUUUAGUCUUGAGUACAGUUUAGGUAGGCGGAAUGUGUCAUGUAGCGGUGAAAUGCUUAGAUAUGACACAGAACACCGAUUGCGAAGGCAGCUUGCUAAGCUGGAACUGACGCUGAGGCACGAAAGCGUGGGGAGCAAACA
rnacentral:rRNA from 1 species